AUGGCCAAGGCAGCUUACAACCACUUCUCCUCGCUCCUUGGCACUCCAAGACCCCGCGACUUCUCCAUCGAUCUGCGCCAGAUUGACAACCGCUCCGAUCUUGAUGAGCUGGAGUUACCAUUCUCUGAGGAUGAAAUUUGGAGUGUGGUCAAGGCGCUCCCCCGCGGAAAAGCCCCGGGCCCCGACGGAUUCACGGCCGAAUUCCUUGUGGCAUGU
rnacentral:rRNA from 1 species